ACCUUACUACUUGGAUAACCGUGGUAAUUCUAGAGCUAAUACAUGCUGAAAACCCCAACUUCGGGAGGGGUGUAUUUAUUAGAUAAAAAACCAACGCCCUUCGGGGCUUCUUGGUGAUUCAUGAUAACUUUACGGAUCGCAUGGCCUUGCGCCGGCGACGGUUCAUUCAAAUUUCUGCCCUAUCAACUUUCGAUGGUAAGGUAUUGGCUUACCAUGGUUUCAACGGGUAACGGGGAAUUAGGGUUCGAUUCCGGAGAGGGAGCCUGAGAAACGGCUACCACAUCCAAGGAAGGCAGCAGGCGCGCAAAUUACCCAAUCCCGACACGGGGAGGUAGUGACAAUAAAUACUGAUACAGGGCUCUUUUGGGUCUUGUAAUUGGAAUGAGUACAAUUUAAACCUCUUAACGAGGAACAAUUGGAGGGCAAGUCUGGUGCCAGCAGCCGCGGUAAUUCCAGCUCCAAUAGCGUAUAUUAAAGUUGUUGCAGUUAAAAAGCUCGUAGUUGAAACUUGGGUCUGGCUGGCAGGUCCGCCUCACCGCGUGUACUUGUCCGGCCGGGCCUUCCUUCUGGAGAACCUCAUGCCCUUCACUGGGCGUGUUGGGGACCAGGACUUUUACUUUGAAAAAAUUAGAGUGUUCAAAGCAGGCCUUUGCUCGAAUACGUUAGCAUGGAAUAAUAGAAUAGGACGUGCGGUCCUAUUUUGUUGGUUUCUAGGACCGCCGUAAUGAUUAAUAGGGACAGUCGGGGGCAUCAGUAUUCAAUUGUCAGAGGUGAAAUUCUUGGAUUUAUUGAAGACUAACUACUGCGAAAGCAUUUGCCAAGGAUGUUUUCAUUAAUCAGUGAACGAAAGUUAGGGGAUCGAAGACGAUCAGAUACCGUCGUAGUCUUAACCGUAAACUAUGCCGACUAGGGAUCGGGCGAUGUUCUUUUUCUGAC
rnacentral:rRNA from 1 species